rnacentral:rRNA from 1 species
UACGUAGGGUGCGAGCGUUAAUCGGAAUUACUGGGCGUAAAGCGUGCGCAGGCGGUUUUGUAAGACAGGCGUGAAAUCCCCGGGCUCAACCUGGGAACUGCGCUUGUGACUGCAAGGCUAGAGUACGGCAGAGGGGGGUGGAAUUCCACGUGUAGCAGUGAAAUGCGUAGAGAUGUGGAGGAACACCAAUGGCGAAGGCAGCCCCCUGGGUCGAUACUGACGCUCAUGCACGAAAGCGUGGGUAGCAAACAGGAUUAGAAACCCCAGUAGUCC